rnacentral:rRNA from 1 species
CCUACGGGAGGCAGCAGUGGGGAAUAUUGCACAAUGGGCGAAACUCUGAUGCAGCGACGCCGCGUGCGUGAAGACGUCUUUCUUUGUUUUAAGCUCUAUCUGUACGGAGGUAAAUCACAGUACCUGAGUUCUACUCCCCGUCUAACUCGAUUCCAGAAGCCGCGGUAAUACGGAGGGAGCAGGCGUUAUCCGGAUUUACUGGGCGUAAAGGGGGCGUAUACGGCGGGGCAAGUCUGGAGUGAAAGGCGGGGGCUCAACCCCCGAACUGCUCUGGAAACUGUAGGGCUGGAGUGUAGGCGAGGUAAGUGGAAUGCAUGGUGUAGCGGUGAAAUGCGUAGAUAUUAGGCAGAACACCGGUGGCGAAGGCAGCUUACUGGACUGUAACUGACGUUGAGGCUCGAAAGCGUGGGGAGCAAACAGGAUUAGAUACCCGGGUAGUC